CUUAUCGUGGUGUUGGGCAUUUAAUUUUUUCGUAAUUGAGGGGGGAUAAGUUGU
rnacentral:tRNA from 1 species